GAGCUUGAUGGGGAAGUAUCAAGAGCUGAAGCUUAUCUACAGUGCCCUGGAAGUAAUGGCAAAUGACAUCAGCCCCUCUGUCAGCAGCCUGUCAAUUCAAACUUGGCAUAUCCUCAGGGCAUUAGACAGACCUCGAUAUUCCACCUUCAGGAAUCUGCAUGGUGAGCUCCGUGGGCCAUGGAGGACAAGGCUUCGUCUGCUGGGGCUCAGCUGCCUGCGCUGCUGGAGCUCUGCACAGAGAUGAGCCCAGAGGCUCUGUCUGCUGGGGCCACCUGAGCCAGCAGAGAUUUUCAGUUUGUUCAAGACUGUUCUUUUCUUCUUUUUGUUUUUCUUUAGUAUAUAAAUAUAGGAUGUGUUAUAAUAGACAGA